CAGCAGUAGCCGCGGUAAUACGUAGGGUGCAAGCGUUAAUCGGAAUUACUGGGCGUAAAGCGUGCGCAGGCGGUUAUAUAAGACAGAUGUGAAAUCCCCGGGCUCAACCUGGGAACUGCAUUUGUGACUGUAUAGCUAGAGUACGGCAGAGGGGGAUGGAAUUCCGCGUGUAGCAGUGAAAUGCGUAGAUAUGCGGAGGAACACCGAUGGCGAAGGCAAUCCCCUGGGCCUGUACUGACGCUCAUGCACGAAAGCGUGGGGAGCAAACAGGAUUAGAUACCCCUGUAGUCCCUGUCUCUUAUAC
rnacentral:rRNA from 1 species